AGUCGAACGUGAAAGCACUUCGGUGUGAGUAGAGUGGCGGACGGGUGAGUAACGCGUGGGAAUCUGCCCAGUAGUGGGGGACAACUACCGGAAACGGUAGCUAAUACCGCAUACGCCCUAUGGGGGAAAGGCUUCGGCCGCUAUUGGAUGAGCCCGCGUCAGAUUAGCUAGUUGGUAGGGUAAAGGCCUACCAAGGCAACGAUCUGUAGCUGGUCUGAGAGGACGAACAGCCACACUGGGACUGAGACACGGCCCAGACUCCUACGGGAGGCAGCAGUGGGGAAUAUUGGACAAUGGGCGAAAGCCUGAUCCAGCAAUGCCGCGUGUGUGAAGAAGGCCUGCGGGUUGUAAAGCACUUUCAGUUGGGAAGAUGAUGACGUUACCAACAGAAGAAGCACCGGCUAAAUCCGUGCCAGCAGCCGCGGUAAUACGGAUGGUGCGAGCGUUAAUCGGAAUUACUGGGCGUAAAGCGCGCGUAGGCGGCUAAGUCAGUCAGAAGUGAAAGCCCCGGGCUCAACCUGGGAAUUGCUUUUGAUACUGCUUGGCUAGAGUUUGGUAGAGGAUAGUGGAAUUCCAGGUGUAGCGGUGAAAUGCGUAGAUAUCUGGAGGAACAUCAGUGGCGAAGGCGACUGUCUGGACCAAAACUGACGCUGAGGUGCGAAAGCGUGGGUAGCAAACAGGAUUAGAUACCCUGGUAGUCCACGCCGUAAACGAUGUCAACUAGCCGUCGGGUCUAUUUACAGACUUGGUGGCGCAGCUAACGCGAUAAGUUGACCGCCUGGGGAGUACGGCCGCAAGGUUAAAACUCAAAGGAAUUGACGGGGGCCCGCACAAGCGGUGGA
rnacentral:rRNA from 1 species